UUUUUUUUUGUUUUUUUUUUUUGGUCUUUUUAGGGCCGCACCACAGCAUAUGGAAGUUCCCAGGCUAGGGGUCCAAUCGGAGUUGUAGCCCCCAGCCUAUGCCACAGCCACAGCCACGCCAGAUCCAAGACACCUCUGUGAUCUUCACCACAGCUCACAGCAAUGCCGGAUCCUUAACCCACUGAGCGAGGCCAGGGAUCAAAUCUGCAUCCUCAUGGAUGCUAGUCACAUCUGUUUCCGCUGCACCACAAUGGGAACUCCUUGAUUAUCAUUUUUGAAGCAAACAACAUGCUCAACACAUUCAACCCAAAUGACUAAUAACAACAUUUAGCUUAUGCUUGAUAGUUUUCCCUUUUCUUUCUCUGGCCACAUCCCAAGGCAACAUAUAUAGGUUGUGCAGAUUAUUUUAGUUAAAAGACUAGAAGAAAACAUACACUUGCAUGCCUAAAUACACUUGAUAAAAAAUGUCCGGGUAAUUCUCCAAACCAGUCAGAAUGGUGAUUAUGGUUAAGAACCCAUUCCUGGGAUUUUUCCAGCCUUUUGAAUGUCAACACUCGGAAAUAUAAUCCAUGGAUUUCUAACCGGCCACAGUUCAUUGAUGAAAAAAAGGAUUUCAUAAAUCUGUGUUUAUUAACCGCAUCGUGUUGAAACCAAAAACUUUCCAUACGGAGUUGUUUUUUGCUAGUGGUAGUUGAUGUGUGGCGCCCUCCUUACCCGCUUUUGAACCCCGAUGGCUGUUUUCUAGUGAGGAUCUGAUAGAGAGGUGAUGCCUGCUGAGGUUUCACCAUCGCCAGAUAGUCUAAUGAAUAAUUAGGAGUCGAAGAUAAUGAGCAAGGAAGUUUUACUAAUUUGUUUUGAAGAAUAUUUUGUGUGUAAACUGAGCAACUCUUUCUGAGUACUUUACCUGCCAGUUUGCACUUGAUUUCAAUGCCGGGUCCUGCAGAGGCUUUAGUAGCCGAGGGCCAGCUGGAGACCUAGUUCUGUCAUGUGUGGUCCACAUGCCCCGGGCUCAUGAUAUGAUGCAGGUAACAACACCUGUGUUAGAGGGGCCUACAGUUCCUGCUCUCUGAAGACUAUUUAUUCUGCAUUUCUUACCAGGCAGGUACAAAUUUCCAUCUGAGCUCUAGUCAAAGCUAUUAUUUUAUACCUUGCUCUGGUUCCAAAAAAUCUACAGUUGGGAGGAGAAGAUACUUUUUUUUUUUAAUCCAGCACUAUUUUUAAUUACUUCAUAAAAUAUUUGUUUUUUGACCUAUGAAUUAAGGAAAAUCUUAACCUUUGGAGAAAUAUGCAAAUUUCUACCCAGGAGAAAAAGACUUUUAUUUUUUAAUUAUUUAUUUAUUUGCUUUUUCAGACCCCUAGCCUGGGAACCUCCAUAUGCCGCGGGAGUGGCCCUAGAAAAGGCAAAAAGACAAAAAAUAAAAAAUAAAAAUAAAAAAAUAAAAUUCUUUAAUUCUCUAUCAUAACACAUAUUUUAGAGGCACCCUUCCUUUGCUCUACUCGCUGCUCCAAUCAAACAAAUAUAGAUCAAGCUUCUUGAAUCUAAUUUCAAAGAAUAGUCCCUUUUUAAAAAAUUUAACCGGAGAAAUGGGAAUGUGAGUAAACAGACUCUAAGGUAUAAUCUCUGACUGGCAAGAGUUCGGGUAGAGAAGAUGAAAUGGGCUCCAGGCAGCAUUUAGUGGGUAAUUAGGGCAGUUACUCAGCCAUGGGGCAGGACAUGAGGGGAUAAGUCGGCAUCCUUCCUUUGUUCCUUGAUAACAUCUUCACAGUUUGCCAAUUAUGACGUGUGUUUUAAGGCACAGUAUUUCCAAGCACUCUAUUUUGAAACACACAUCCUGAGAGGGUUUGAGUUAAUUACUACCUCCUUGGUCUGAGUAUGUUUAGAUGAUCAAGUUCACCAGCAGGGGCUUGAGAGAAAGCCAGAGCGAGUAGGAAGGUUUUGGUGAGGAAGUGUGAUGGAAGAGUCUGCUCUGCAAGUCAGGGUCCAAAAGGGCCACCUGAAAACAGGAGGAAGAUCCUGAGCAUCCAAACAAUGGUGCCAGGACCUCCUCAUGCUCCUGCCCAUGCCAUCCUCCAGCGAAAAUUCAACAGUAAGGACCACCACAGCAAGUAGAAAGACCACAGAGAUCACAGGCAAGCUAACUGAGCAAGUGGAAGGCAAAACAUGGAGCAGAUGCUCUUGGUUGGGAAUAAAGCAUCAUGGAAUAGAGACCGGAAAAGAAACCAAGAAUGGUACAAUGUGUGAGUGGGAUAGGUCAGACUUAUGCCCAUCAGUGCAUAUCCUAGAUAUUUUUUCUUCAAUUUGCCCUUAAAUUAUUUUUGAGUACAGUCAUUCGGCUUAAUUUUUGGCCUUAUUAAUUCAUUGGAGGGAAAGCAACUCAGGGAAAAGGAUAAUUUAUAGCAUGGAUAUGUGGUUUUGAAAGCGAGCAGAACCCUAUGGGGCCAUCCUAGGUGUCAAAGACUUUCUGUGUCCCCUGUUCCUCGUUUCUAAGAAAUAGUCUUCCUUCAGCCUCCUUGAUCUUCCCUGAGUUCCAAAGGGCAGAUUCAAACAGUUGCUCAUCAAGGAAGGAAGGGGAUGCCAAAACUAGGGAGGAGCAGGAAAGAAAAAAUAGUACAGGAGUCCCACUGUGGCUCAGUGGGUGAAGAACCCAACUAAUAUCCGUGAGAAUGCAGGUUCCACCCCAACGUUGGGUUAAGAAUCCGGGAUUGCCAUGAGCUGCAGUAUAGGUUGAAAAUGUGGCUUGGAUCCAGUGUUGCUGUGGCUGUUGUGUAGGCAGGCAGCUGCAGCUGCAAUUCAACCCCUAGCCCAGGAACUUUCACAUGCCACGGGUGAGGCAGAAAGAGAGAAAGAAAGAAAGAAAGGAAAGAAGGAAGGAAGGAAGGAA
ensembl:lncRNA